CCUACGGGGGCAGCAGUGAGGAAUUUUGCGCAAUGGGAGCAAUCCUGACGCAGCAACGCCGCGUGGGUGAUGAAGGCCUUCGGGUCGUAAAGCCCUGUCAGGUGGGAAGAAUGUCCCGGGACUGAACAGGUUCCGGGAGUGACGGUACCACCAGAGGAAGCACCGGCUAACUCCGUGCCAGCAGCCGCGGUAAUACGGAGGGUGCAAGCGUUAUUCGGAAUUACUGGGCGUAAAGGGCGUGUAGGCGGUCCUGCAAGUCUGAUGUGAAAGCCCCGGGCUGAACCCGGGAAGGGCAUUGGAAACUGUGGGACGUGAGUACGGGAGAGGAUGGGGGAAUUCCCGGUGUAGAGGUGAAAUUCGUAGAGAUCGGGAGGAAUAUCAGUGGCGAAGGCGCCCAUCUGGACGGUAACUGACGCUGAGACACGAAAGCGUGGGGAGCAAACA
rnacentral:rRNA from 1 species